UGGUCUAGUGGUUAAGACUCUGUGCUCCUAACACAGGGGGCCCAGGUUUGAUCCCUGG
rnacentral:tRNA from 1 species